CAGUCGCCGCGGUAAUACGGAGGGAGCUAGCGUUGUUCGGAAUUACUGGGCGUAAAGCGCGCGUAGGCGGUUACUCAAGUCAGAGGUGAAAGCCCGGGGCUCAACCCCGGAACUGCCUUUGAAACUAGGUGACUAGAAUCUUGGAGAGGUCAGUGGAAUUCCGAGUGUAGAGGUGAAAUUCGUAGAUAUUCGGAAGAACACCAGUGGCGAAGGCGACUGACUGGACAAGUAUUGACGCUGAGGUGCGAGAGCGUGGGGAGCAAACAGGAUUAGAUACCCGCGUAGUCCCUGUCUCUUAUAC
rnacentral:rRNA from 1 species